rnacentral:rRNA from 1 species
CGGGGCAGCAUCCAACCACCGCGCGCCCCUACGUCCCUGAACCGCCACCACGUUUCACCCAGAGGCCGCCGCGGCGCUUCAUCCCGAGACCGCGACGUCGAGACGGCUUGAACCGCCGCUCCUCCCGCGUCCGCAGGACGUCGAGGCCGUCCAGCGGUGUGGUCCGCCGACGCAUCUGCUCGGGGCGGCGGCGAGGGCCUACUGGACGAGCGCCGCCUGAUCGCGCUCCAGGCCACCGGGUCGGCCUCGUCGACGAGGUGCAGAGGCUGUAGCGAGAGACCGCGUGAAGCGGUACAGGGACGUACGUGCGGCGGCCGCUGUUGUAGUCGACCGCGCUCCUCCCUUCGAGCCACUGUUAUACCUAACCCAUCCCCUCCCUAACCCUCCUUCCAAGAAAAACCUUUUUAUGGUCAGAUUGCCGUAGAUGGUACUUUGCAAUACGGUGCAGUCGUUUACGCCCUAGGUGUACAGUAUUCUCUCCAAUUUUACGAGCUUGUCUUUCAAUCCACCAAAGACGUUUACUAAUCCUGUUUUAAGUCACAAAAGACCGUGUUUAAGCAUCUUCUCAGAAAAGACGUUGUGCUGCGAAGUUACACCACCAAAAGACGUUAAGUGAGCAGGAUAUUAUUACCAGUGUGUUCUUACUUGGUUUGUUCUUCUACCUCGUUUUUACCUUCAGUGGAGGAUAACCUUGGGACUUCUAUUUAUGUCUGUACAGUAAAUGACUUCGUUUAAACGAUAAUCUUUACUGGUUCGGCAAGACGAUGUUUAGUACUAGAAAGUCGUGAUCCGAGAAAUAAGAUCCUACAAUUUAAAGUUUACACACACCCGAAUUUACGUACACCCGAAUUUACACCAUUCACAACUUGUAACAUCAUCUCUAACAUUGUUUCUCUCGGGUAUGAAAUCGACGCGUACCACCCGAAUUUAUAACGUCCACAACUUGUGACAUCACCUCUAACAUUUUUUCAUCGCACGUGAAAUCGACACGUAUCACGGUCAUGCCCUUCCCAAUGUAUCUUUGGACGGACCCAGUUAAGGGACCUAAACAUAGAACGGCCGCUAUACGUGCAAUUCAAUUACCUUACGAAAUAGAGUUU